UACGUAGGUGGCAAGCGUUGUCCGGAUUCACUGGGCGUAAAGCGCGCGCAGGCGGUCUUCUACGUCUGGGGUGAAAACCCGGGGCUCAACCCCGGGACUGCCUUGGAUACGGGAAGACUUGAGGAUCGGAGAGGCAAGGGGAAUUCCACGUGUAGCGGUGAAAUGCGUAGAGAUGUGGAGGAACACCGAUGGCGAAGGCAGCCCCCUGGGCCGAUACUGACGCUGAGUGAGCGAAAGCCAGGGGAGCAAACGGG
rnacentral:rRNA from 1 species